rnacentral:lncRNA from 1 species
AAGACGUGGGGAAGAGAUGAGAGCAACUGGGUAGGCCUCACGGCGCCGGGGUCCUUACCGUCCGUGUUGGCCACAGGGAACACCCGCUAUCAGCGCCGGCGGCGUGGGGGCACCCGCGGUCCCACCUCAGCGUCGGGGGUCGGGGGGCGCCCGCAGUCCCACCUCAGCGCCGGGGGUCGAGGGGCGCCCACGGUCCCACCUCAGCGCCGGNNNNNNNNNGUUCCACCUCAGCGCUGGGGGUCGGGGGGCGCCCGGGGUCCCACCUCAGCGCCGGCAGCGGGGUCGCCCAGGGUUCCACCUCAGCGCCGGCGUUGGGGGGCGCCUGCGGUCCCACCUCAGCACCGGGGGGCGGGGGGCGCCCACGGUCCCACCUCAGCGCGGGGUGCCCGCCGCCAGGCUCGCCGCCCGAGGCCAAGGCCAGGUGCUGCCGCCACGGUGGAGCCCGGGAGACAGGAGAUGGCACCUCAGCGCCGGCAGCGGGGUCGCCCAGGGUUCCACCUCAGCGCCGGCGUUGGGGGGCGCCUGCGGUCCCACCUCAGCACCGGGGGGCGGGGGGCGCCCACGGUCCCACCUCAGCGCGGGGUGCCCGCCGCCAGGCUCGCCGCCCGAGGCCAAGGCCAGGUGCUGCCGCCACGGUGGAGCCCGGGAGACAGGAGAUGGCUGUGGCGGCUGACAAGCAAGGGCAGCUGGGCUCUAGCACCGGGCAUGAGUCUUCACUUACCGGAACGUCAUCUAAGAAGACGGCGGCAACACCAACAAUCUCAACAUGAUUGUCAGUCAGGUACCUCUUUUGCUGAGACGGAUGCCUGUAAACACUUUCUACCUAUCCCAUCCCCCAAAUGACUCUGAAAAAACGACUCUUCUCUAGACAUUUACUUGACCCAGCCUGCAAACAACUUGGGGAUCGAAGCACAUUUUCAUAGAAGUAAGUUUGUUGAAGUUCAGUAAGAAAAAGAUGCUAUGCUUUCAACAUCACAGGAGAAUAAUUUAUUAAAAUCUGCUUUUAAAUGUAAUUGAUAGGACACAUUUAGUAAGACAUGAAAAUAGAACCUAUGUUUUAGUAGCACACCAGCACUUUUCACUUCCAUUUUUGCCAACUGUGAUGAUCACUAACACCUAUGUGCCUCCUACCCUGUUACUAUUCUUUAAAUCGGCUUGAUACUGCUUUUUU